UACAGAGGUCUCAAGCGUUGUUCGGAUUCAUUGGGCGUAAAGGGUGCGUAGGUGGCGGGGCCAGUCAGGUGUGAAAUCCCGGGGCUAACCCUGGAACUGCAUUUGAUACUGCCUUGCUGGAGAACUGGAGAGGAGACUGGAAUUUACGGUGUAGCAGUGAAAUGCGUAGAGAUCGUAAGGAAGACCAGUGGCGAAGGCGAGUCUCUGGACAGUUACUGACACUGAGGCACGAAAGCCAGGGGAGCAAACGGG
rnacentral:rRNA from 1 species